ensembl:misc_RNA 7SK 7SK RNA
GUAUGUGCGGGUGAUCUGGCUGCGACAUCUGUCAGUCACCCCAUCGAUCACCAGGGUUGAUUCGGCUGAUCUGGCUGAUUAGGCGGGUGUCCCCUUCUUCCCUCACUGCUCCAUGUGUGUCCCUCCCCAAAGCUGUGUACUUGGUCAAAAAGAACAGCCUUCCCCAAUAGAGACGGACUGGUCUUCAAGUACCCCUGCUAGAACCUCCAAACAAGCUCUCAAAAUAUUGACUAUAAAAAAAUAAUAAUACAUUAUUACAUACUUCCUAUAUUCACAUAUAAUUAAAUUUCAUGAAACAAUCCUUAUUCUGU